UUGGAGGGCAAGUCUGGUGCCAGCAGCCGCGGUAAUUCCAGCUUCAAUAGCGUAUAUUAAAGUUGUUGCAGUUAAAAAGCUCGUAGUUGAAUUUCGGGAUCAAAUUGUCGGUCGUGCCUCGGUACGCACUGGUAUUAUUGGUUCCUACCUUCUGAAGAACCGCGAUGUCAUUAAUUUGGUGUCGUGGGGAAUCAGGACUGUUACUUUGAAAAAAUUAGAGUGUUUAAAGCAGGCGCACGCUUGAAUACAUUAGCAUGGAAUAAUGAAAUAGGACGUUUGAUUCUAUUUUGUUGGUUUCUAGGAUCGACGUAAUGAUUAAUAGGGAUAGUUGGGGGCAUUAGUAUUCAAUUGUCAGAGGUGAAAUUCUUGGAUUUAUUGAAGACUAACUACUGCGAAAGCAUUUGCCAAGGAUGUUUUCAUUAAUCAAGAACGAAAGUUAGGGGAUCGAAGACGAUCAGAUACCGUCGUAGUCUUAACCAUAAACUAUGCCGACUAGGGAUCGGAUGAUGUUAAUUUUUUAAUGACUCAUUCGGCGCCUUACGGGAAACCAAAGUGUUUGGGUUC
rnacentral:rRNA from 1 species